GUUGUUUACAUCUAAAAACGUGGCGACAUCAGCUGAGAUUUGCAGUGGAUUUAAAUGCAAUAACCACACAAUCUUUAAAGAAAAUUGGGAUAAAAUAAGAGACAAGGCAUUGCUUUUCCCUUUUACGAGAAUAUGAGGACAUUAUUAGCAGAAAACUGAGACGAUUUGCACCAGCUUCGUAGAUCCAUCACUGCACUGCAAUUCCAGGCCAGCUGUCAAGAGUUUCAGGCUUAAAGCAUGAAGAAAUAAAAAAUGCAUCAUUUCUCCACAGGGCAUAGCUAUUCCCAAAAUGUUGGACUAAUGGAUUCAUUCAGGCAGCAAGUUAAUCCAUCAUUUAAGGAAAAUGAAUGCAUUUUAUCCACAAGAAGUCAGAACAUAAAGUGAAGGAAAUAAUUUGCACCUGUCCAACAUUCCUAGUCUGUCAUUGGAUUUGAAAAGAAAUGCUUAUUAAAUAAAUUUUCUA